rnacentral:rRNA from 1 species
CGAUUGUUGUCUUGUAGUCAGGGUGGAAGCAUGCUUCUGCCUGUCCUAAGACAAGACUAGCCGGGUUUUACCGGCUGGAAGCUGGUCGCAAUAACAGGUCUGUGAUGCCCUUAGAUGUUCUGGGCCGCACGCGCGCUACACUGGCAGAGGCAGCGAGCUGACACCUGGGUCGAAGGACCUGGGGAAUCUUGUGAAACUCUGCCGUGAUGGGGAUAGACCAUUGUAAUUAUUGGUCUUGAACGAGGAAUUCCUAGUAAGCGCAGGUCAUCAGCUUGCGUUGAUUAUGUCCCUGCCCUUUGUACACACCGCCCGUCACUACUACCGAUUGAACACCACAAUGAAGGCUGCGGAGAUGUCCUAUGGAUGUUGAAGCAUACUGAAUUGUGGUGUUUAGAGGAAGUAAAAGUCG